AGUCAACAUGCCCAGGGGACGUGGAUAACCUCGGGAAACUGAGGAUAAACCGCGAUAGGUCAUCACUUCUGGAAUGGGUAAUGACUUAAAUCUAUAUGGCCCCUGGAUUGGACUGCGGCCGAUCAGGCUGUUGGUGAGGUAAUGGCCCACCAAACCUGUAACCGGUACGGGCUCUGAGAGGAGGAGCCCGGAGAUGGGCACUGAGACAAGGGCCCAGGCCCUAUGGGGCGCAGCAGGCGCGAAACCUCUGCAAUAGGCGAAAGCUUGACAGGGUUACUCUGAGUGAUUUCCGUUAAGGAGAUCUUUUGGCACCUCUAAAAAUGGUGCAGAAUAAGGGGUGGGCAAGUCUGGUGUCAGCCGCCGCGGUAAUACCAGCACCCCGAGUGGUCGGGACGUUUAUUGGGCCUAAAGCAUCCGUAGCCGGUUCUACAAGUCUUCCGUUAAAUCCACCUGCUUAACAGAUGGGCUGCGGAAGAUACUAUAGAGCUAGGAGGCGGGAGAGGCAAGCGGUACUCGAUGGGUAGGGGUAAAAUCCGUUGAUCCAUUGAAGACCACCAGUGGCGAAGGCGGCUUGCCAGAACGCGCUCGACGGUGAGGGAUGAAAGCUGGGGGAGCAAACCGGAUUAGAUACCCGGGUAGUCCCAGCUGUAAACGAUGCAGACUCGGUGAUGAGUUGGCUUAUUGCUAACUCAGUGCCGCAGGGAAACCGUUAAGUUUGCCGCCUGGGGAGUACGGUCGCAAGACUGAAACUUAA
rnacentral:rRNA from 1 species